AAAUGAAUUGACGGGCACCCGCACAAGCGGUGGAGCAUGCUGUUUAAUUCGAAGAUACGCGAAGAACCUUACCUAGACUUGACAUCCCUGGCAAAGCUAUAGAAAUAUAGUGGAGGUUAUCCAGGUGACAGGUGGUGCAUGGUUGUCGUCAGCUCGUGUCGUGAGAUGUUCGGUUAAGUCCGAUAACGAGCGCAACCCUUAUCAUUAGUUACUAACAUUCAGUUGAGGACUCUAAUGAGACUGCCGGUGAUAAACCGGAGGAAGGUGGGGAUGACGUCAAAUCAUCAUGCCCCUUACGUCUAGGGCUACAGGCGUGCUACAAUGGCUGGUACAAAGAGACGCAAUACCGUGAGGUGGAGCAAAUCUCCAAAACCAGUCCCAGUUCGGAUUGGAGUCUGCAACUCGACUCCAUGAAGUUGGAAUCGCUAGUAAUCCUGAAUCAGAAUGUCAGGGUGAAUACGUUCCCGGGUGUUGUACACACCGCCCGU
rnacentral:rRNA from 1 species